rnacentral:rRNA from 1 species
UGGGGAAUAUUGCGCAAUGGGCGAAAGCCUGACGCAGCGACGCCGCGUGAGGGAUGAAGGUCUUCGGAUCGUAAACCUCUGUCAGCAGGGAAGAACGGUCACUGUGCUAAUCAGCAGUGAAAUGACGGUACCUGCAAAGGAAGCACCGGCUAACUCCGUGCC